GAAGGUGGCCUGUGAGGGUUGCUGGAGGUAUCAGAAGUGCGAAUGCUGACAUAAGUAACGAUAAAGCGGGUGAAAAGCCCGCUCGCCGGAAGACCAAGGGUUCCUGUCCAACGUUAAUCGGGGCAGGGUGAGUCGACCCCUAAGGCGAGGCCGAAAGGCGUAGUCGAUGGGAAACGGGUUAAUAUUCCCGUACUUGGUGUUACUGCGAAGGGGGGACGGAGAAGGCUAUGUUGGCCGGGCGACGGUUGUCCCGGUUUAAGCGUGUAGGUGUGUGUUCCAGGUAAAUCCGGUUCACUUUAACACUGAGGCGUGACGACGAGGCACUACGGUGCUGAAGCAACAAAUGCCCUGCUUCCAGGAAAAGCCUCUAAGCAUCAGGUAACAUCAAAUCGUACCCCAAACCGACACAGGUGGUCAGGUAGAGAAUACCAAGGCGCUUGAGAGAACUCGGGUGAAGGAACUAGGCAAAAUGGUGCCGUAACUUCGGGAGAAGGCACGCUGACACGUAGGUGAAGUGAUUUACUCAUGGAGCUGAAGUCAGUCGAAGAUACCAGCUGGCUGCAACUGUUUAUUAAAAACACAGCACUGUGCAAACACGAAAGUGGACGUAUACGGUGUGACGCCUGCCCGGUGCCGGAAGGUUAAUUGAUGGGGUCAGCGCAAGCGAAGCUCCUGAUCGAAGCCCCGGUAAACGGCGGCCGUAACUAUAACGGUCCUAAGGUAGCGAAAUUCCUUGUCGGGUAAGUUCCGACCUGCACGAAUGGCGUAAUGAUGGCCAGGCUGUCUCCACCCGAGACUCAGUGAAAUUGAACUCGCUGUGAAGAUGCAGUGUACCCGCGGCAAGACGGAAAGACCCCGUGAACCUUUACUAUAGCUUGACACUGAACAUUGAGCCUUGAUGUGUAGGAUAGGUGGGAGGCUUUGAAGCGUGGACGCCAGUCUGCGUGGAGCCGACCUUGAAAUACCACCCUUUAAUGUUUGAUGUUCUAACGUGGACCCGUGAUCCGGGUUGCGGACAGUGUCUGGUGGGUAGUUUGACUGGGGCGGUCUCCUCCUAAAGAGUAACGGAGGAGCACGAAGGUUGGCUAAUCCUGGUCGGACAUCAGGAGGUUAGUGCAAUGGCAUAAGCCAGCUUGACUGCGAGCGUGACGGCGCGAGCAGGUGCGAAAGCAGGUCAUAGUGAUCCGGUGGUUCUGAAUGGAAGGGCCAUCGCUCAACGGAUAAAAGGUACUCCGGGGAUAACAGGCUGAUACCGCCCAAGAGUUCAUAUCGACGGCGGUGUUUGGCACCUCGAUGUCGGCUCAUCACAUCCUGGGGCUGAAGUAGGUCCCAAGGGUAUGGCUGUUCGCCAUUUAAAGUGGUACGCGAGCUGGGUUUAGAACGUCGUGAGACAGUUCGGUCCCUAUCUGCCGUGGGCGCUGGAGAACUGAGGGGGGCUGCUCCUAGUACGAGAGGACCGGAGUGGACGCAUCACUGGUGUUCGGGUUGUCAUGCCAAUGGCACUGCCCGGUAGCUAAAUGCGGAAGAGAUAAGUGCUGAAAGCAUCUAAGCACGAAACUUGCCCCGAGAUGAGUUCUCCCUGAGACUUAAAGUCUCCUGAAGGAACGUUGAAGACGACGACGUUGAUAGGCCGGGUGUGUAAGCGCAGCGAUGCGUUGAGCUAACCGGUACUAAUGAACCGUGAGGCUUAACCUUACAACGCCGAAG
rnacentral:rRNA from 2 species